CACACAAACACAAAAAAGCAUUAAGCGAACAUAUAUUUUAAUUAUAGACUGAUUUAUUAGUAAUUGAAAUUAAUCUACAAAUUUAAGCAUAAAUCUGAAUAAACGCAGGAAUAAUAAUUAAACCAAGAGUUAAAUACAAAAUGCAUGUGCAUGUGAUUUUAUGUUUGUUUUCUAUCCUUUUUUGUGAUAAACAAACGAAAUACUUGAAAAUGACAAAAACAACAACAACAACAACAAAAAAAACAACAACAUCGAUAACGGCCAAUAGAACGAUAAUUGAAUAUACGGUAUAUUUGUACUCACCAUGCGGCGCACAAAUGUAUUUGGCCGGCGGUUGAGAAAGAAGAUAACUCUAAACAAUAAUUGAAAUACUUUAUGGCAUAAUUAUCGUAACAAUAAAUGAAGUAAAUCCUAAAUUCCUUUGUAAAGUUUUGUUCGGCUUUUUAAUUGUAAUAUCUAGAGAUUUAAGUCAUUUUUAUUGGUAACUCACCUUUUUUUUAGUUCACCUCAUUUCAUUGAGUGCAAGUGCAACUAUAACUGUAAGCUGUCAACUGCUCUCUUGCUCUCUCAUCAGCAGCAGCUGCAGCAGGCUAUCGAUCAGGACUGUCGAAUGGGCAAGUGAAGUACCACGCUGACAAAAUUCCAAUGCAUACUUUCCGGGGCAACAAUUGCAAGCAGUGCACUUGCUUGAAAAUCACACACACAGGUACAACAUCGUAUGCUAUAAUUGAUGCAUAAGGAUGUGAAGAACAGAGAGCAGCAGCUACUUUUACUGACGGCUACUCAGAGGAUGAAUAUUUCGGAGCAUAUUGCCAAUUUCGCAAGUAAUUAGUUAUAUAGGUUCACCAGGAAUACAUUUACAGUUUAGUUAGCGAGGAUAUUUUGAAAAAUAUCGGAUUACCGAUAUAUAUUUUUUAAACGAUUUUUGAUAGUUAUCGAUAAUUUCGUUGAAUGAUUACGAAUAUCGAUCGAUAUUGAAAAAUUAAACCGCGUAACUCUGAACGAUCUUUGAAAAUUGGAUCCAUUCUACCCUUUUUAAGCACAUAAAUAUAUAUAAAAUUGAAUUUUAGAUUAAUAAGAUUUUACACACAAGCAAUGCAAUAGCUUUCCACCCAUUUUCCUCAGUUGUUGGUAGAAAUAUUUCAUUGGUUUGGGCUCAUCAAUCAGCCUGGUCCGUUCCAACAGUUCGAUUUAGAUUUAUAACUGAAUAACGUGAAUAUAAUGGACUUCUUUAAUUGUGUUCGUUAACUUAAAA